GUAUUCCCUAUAUUUCAGGUAUAAGAGCAAGAGGCCAUGCUAUUUCCCGCAUUCAUAGCCUCUGACAUAUACUGAACUUGGUGAAGCAGCUAUGGAUUUGCUUCAAAGUUAUGUGGAGAAAAGUGAUGAUGAUGAAGGACAAAAACCAACAUCAACAUCAUCUGCUCCUUCGUCACCAGACUCAUCUCCUCCUCGAAUUUCUUUACCUUCAAAAACCUCAGCUCCAAAGGUUGACGACACCAUGCUCGCCCUCACAGUUGCCAAGACAAAUCGAACGCUCCAUAAACCAAUUGAUCCAUCUCAGCAUGUUGUAGGUUUCAACCCCACAUAUGACCAGCUCUGGGCUCCGAUUUACGGUCCAGCACACCCCUAUGCAAAGGAUGGCAUUGCCCAGGGCAUGAGAAAUCACAAGUUAGGAUUUGUGGAGAAUGCAGCAAUAGAACCCUUCAUCUUUGACGAACAGUAUAAUACCUUCCACAAGUAUGGAUAUGCUGCUGACCCUGCCGCAUCAUCAGGGAACAAUUAUGUUGGUGAUUUGGAGGCCUUACAGAAAAACGAUGGUAUUUCUGUUUAUAAUAUUCCGCAGAAUGAACAGAAGAAGCGAAAGCUUGAGAGAAAGAAAGAAUUGAAGGAGGAUGAGGAGCUUGAUGACUCAGGUGGUGAUGUUGAUAUGUCUGAGGUAGACAACCCCGCUUCAGAAGAGUGGCUAAAGAAGAACCGGAAGAGCCCAUGGGCUGGGAAGAAGGAAGGAUUGCAGACAGAACUGACAGAAGAGCAGAAGAAGUAUGCAGAGGAGCAUGCAGAGAAGAAGGCUGAGAAGGAGAGGGGUGGAGGAGGUGAUAAGGCUGAACAUGUCACAGAUAAGAGUACUUUUCAUGGGAAGGAGGAACAGGACUACCAGGGUAGGUCCUGGAUUGCUCCUCCAAAAGAUGCCAAGGCCACAAAUGAUCAUUGUUAUAUACCGAAGCGGUGGGUUCACACAUGGAGUGGGCACACAAAAGGUGUAUCGGCAAUUCGGUUCUUUCCAAAGUCUGGACAUCUGCUCCUCUCAGCAGGAAUGGAUAACAAAGUCAAGAUAUGGGAUGUUUUCAACUCAGGAAAGUGCAUGCGGACAUACAUGGGCCAUUCAAAGGCUGUUCGUGACAUCUCCUUCUCAAAUGAUGGGUCAAAAUUUUUGAGUGCUGGUUAUGAUAAAAACAUCAAGUAUUGGGAUACAGAGACUGGGAAGGUGAUUUCGACAUUUUCCACUGGGAAGAUUCCUUAUGUUGUUAAGCUCAACCCAGAUGAUGAUAAGCAGAACAUCCUUCUAGCCGGAAUGAGUGAUAAAAAGAUUGUCCAGUGGGAUAUGAACACUGGACAGAUCACUCAAGAGUAUGAUCAACAUUUGGGUGCGGUAAAUACUAUUACAUUUGUGGACAAUAACAGGAGGUUUGUUACAUCAAGUGAUGACAAAUCCCUCCGUGUGUGGGAAUUUGGAAUUCCUGUUGUUAUAAAGUACAUCAGUGAACCUCACAUGCACUCGAUGCCAUCAAUUUCCCUUCACCCUAAUUCAAAUUGGCUUGCUGCUCAGAGUUUGGAUAAUCAGAUUCUUAUCUACAGCACAAGGGAGAGGUUUCAGCUCAACAAGAAAAAGAGAUUUGCAGGACACAUAGCGGCUGGUUACGCCUGCCAAGUCAAUUUCUCGCCAGAUGGACGGUUUGUCAUGUCAGGUGAUGGCGAGGGAAAAUGUUGGUUUUGGGACUGGAAAAGUUGCAAAGUCUUCAGAACUCUAAAGUGUCACGAGGGUGUAUGUAUUGGCUGUGAGUGGCAUCCACUGGAACAAAGUAAAGUGGCAACCUGUGGCUGGGAUGGCAUGAUUAAGUACUGGGAUUAGCCAAUUUCAAAUGAUGUCCUGCCAGGCCCCUGUAUCAUUAGAUUAACUUCGUCCCGGACAAUCCAAUAAGAGGAUAAGAGAAGGACAAGAAAGUAAUAUUCAUCAAACUAUAUGCUCUUAUCAGCCGAAGUUAUUGUGAGAUCUCUGCAAGUUUUGUUUCUCUAUCAGUGAUUGGCAGCAUCAUCAAGUAACUUAAUGAUAAUGUAUCACAUCUUCUUAACCAAUUCCAGGCUCCCUGUUUUUAAAUUUUUUUAGUUUCUCCUGUAUUGGUUCCCCUUGAAAUUAGGUAUAUAAAGUUCAAUGUGAUCUCUCUCUCUCUCUCUCUCUCUCGUGUUUGUGGUCUGAUACACUCAAAAUGCUUAGACGCAAUCAGAUGACACGUGAGGAUUUGUGUAUGGCAAGUCUUCCAGUGGGAAUGGUGGAAAUCUUACCUUUUGCUAUACUUGAUUAGACAGUAAUGAUUGGAGCAAUGUUUUUCAAGAUGCAUUUUUUAUUAUUUUCUUGACAUGUGGUUGCACAGAGGAAAUGCAGAAUGUAAUGGUUGGAAAUUGGUGCUGGGAAGACAUGUUUAAGGUGAUAUUCUUCUUGUACAAAUGCCCAGGAGAUCCAAGGAUAUGGCUUUUGUCGGUAGCUGCCCACCUAGUGCACUGGAUGGAUUCAACCUUAAUUCUCCUACUAUUUGUGGAUAUGUCUGACUUGUUUGGAAUUGGAAAACUGCCAAGCUUGCCUUGGUUCCUAUAGAAGGUUUGUGGAGUGUGAUCUCCUUUCAAGGUCAUAGGUUAUGAGGCCAUCUCCUUUGCUCUCCUCUUAAUCAUAUCGUUGUCUUCGUGAUAUUGACAAUUUUUAGUGGAUUUGUGCAU